UACAGAGGUGGCAAGCGUUGUUCGGAAUUACUGGGCGUAAAGCGUGCGCAGGCGGUUUGUUAAGACAGGCGUGAAAUCCCCGGGCUCAACCUGGGAACUGCGCUUGUGACUGGCAGGCUAGAGUACGGCAGAGGGGGGUGGAAUUCCACGUGUAGCAGUGAAAUGCGUAGAGAUGUGGAGGAACACCAAUGGCGAAGGCAGCCCCCUGGGUCGAUACUGACGCUCAUGCACGAAAGCGUGGGGAGCAAACAGG
rnacentral:rRNA from 1 species